CCUACGGGCGGCAGCAGUAGGGAAUAUUGCUCAAUGGGGGAAACCCUGAUGCAGCAACGCCGCGUGGAGGAUGAAGGUUUUCAGAUUGUAAACUCCUUUUGUUAGAGAAGAUAAUGACGGUAUCUAACGAAUAAGCACCGGCUAACUCCGUGCCAGCAGCCGCGGUAAUACGGGGGGUGCGCGCGUUAUCGGGAUUUAUUGGGUUUAAAGGGUGCGUAGGCGGACGCUUAAGUCAGCGGUAAAAUUGCGGGGUUCAACCGCGUAGAGCCGUUGAAACUGGGUGCCUUGAGUGGGCGAGAAGUACGCGGAAUGCGUGGUGUAGCGGUGAAAUGCAUAGAUAUCACGCAGAACUCCGAUUGCGAAGGCAGCGUACCGGCGCCCAACUGACGCUGAAGCACGAAGGCGUGGGUAUCGAACAGGAUUAGAUACCCGGGUAGUC
rnacentral:rRNA from 1 species